CCGCCCCUGCCCGCGUCCGCAGGGAGCCCCGGGCUGCGGCCCGAACCUUACCGCGCCCGCGGCGGGAGCGAGCGGCGGCCGAAGUCCUUCUGCGGUAGGGCGGGGGCGAGGAAGGCCGCUGUGAGGAAGAGCGGUUGCACCUGGGAACUUGCAGCCUUCGACGCCGCCUGGUUCGAGACUCGGGGAAGCUUCAGCACGAAGGCGGCGGCGGCGGUCCCGGCGGGGAUGGCCUGACGGCUUCUCCCAGCAGCCAGGCGACGCCGGUGAGACCACCGCGGGCACCACGGAGCCAACGCCGCCGUUGCCUGCCCUGGCAGGACCAGCAGGAACAUCUCCUCGUGAGGGGAGGGACGCUUUCAACUCCCUUCUCAGCUGCUGCUUAACGCCUUGGUCACCCUUCAGACAAUCAGACCUUAGCUAAAGCAGCUUCGCUUUUCGAGACCGGCCGAAGCCAAACAAAGGGUUGUCUUUAGGGAAAUCGAGGAAUUGGCUAUGAAAGGAAUACUGACAUAUCACUCUUACUAACAAGAUGCAAAGAACUAUCUAUCUCCGUUUGGUGCAGCAAGCUGUAGUCAACAUUGAAGAAAGAGAAAGGAACAGAAACCACACCUCUAAGUGUCAGAUUUCCUAAUAAGGACUGAAGUUUAUCACCAGAUAUAUCUUGAUCUCAGCUGUACAAGCUCAGCUGAGAAUACCUAAGGCCCUCUCAAAAGACUGAUCAUCUGAUUUGCCAUUAUGACUGUGCAAUUUCAUGAAAUGGUGCACACAGGGUAACUGCUACUUAGCAGUUUGCUUUCAAAGACAAAAUAUGAAAUGUAGCUGCAGUUUUAUACCAAUGUAUUAUUAAAAUGUGAAAAAAGUUUGCAAUUCCACGCAUUACUAAAAAAAAAAAAAAAAAUUACAAUGCUGG